UACGGAGGGUCCAAGCGUUGUCCGGAAUCACUGGGUGUAAAGGGUGCGUAGGCGGAUUUGUAAGUCAGAGGUGAAAGCCCACGGCUUAACCGUGGAACUGCCUUUGAUACUGCAAGUCUUGAGUCCUGGAGGGGCUGGCGGAAUUCGUGGUGUAGCGGUGAAAUGCGUAGAUAUCAGGAGGAACACCGGUGGCGAAGGCGGGUCUCUGGGCAACAACUGACGCUGAGGAGCGAAAGCGUGGGGAGCGAACAGG
rnacentral:rRNA from 1 species